GAUGAACGCUGGCGGCGUGCCUAAUACAUGCAAGUCGAGCGAACAGACGAGGAGCUUGCUCCUCUGACGUUAGCGGCGGACGGGUGAGUAACACGUGGAUAACCUACCUAUAAGAUUGGGAUAACUUCGGGAAACCGGAGCUAAUACCGGAUAAUAUAUUGAACCGCAUGGUUCAAUAGUGAAAGACGGUUUUGCUGUCACUUAUAGAUGGAUCCGCGCCGCAUUAGCUAGUUGGUAAGGUAACGGCUUACCAAGGCAACGAUGCGUAGCCGACCUGAGAGGGUGAUCGGCCACACUGGAACUGAGACACGGUCCAGACUCCUACGGGAGGCAGCAGUAGGGAAUCUUCCGCAAUGGGCGAAAGCCUGACGGAGCGACGCCGCGUGAGUGAUGAAGGUCUUCGGAUCGUAAAACUCUGUUAUUAGGGAAGAACAAAUGUGUAAGUAACUAUGCACGUCUUGACGGUACCUAAUCAGAAAGCCACGGCUAACUACGUG
rnacentral:rRNA from 1 species